UGUUGCAUUUCAGAAAAUGUUUUCUGUAAAAACAAUGAUAUGGCACUUAAAUGCAUUUAAUAUGUUUAGUUUUUUGAGAGAUGAUAUUGUAAGCAAUGUAGGCAUUAAAAAUGUUGCUUUUUCGCCCAGUUUAGGUUGUU